UAAAAAUAAAAUCCGAAAACCCUAAUCGCCAAAACAUUAGCGACCUAAUUUUCCAUCAAAGCAAACAAUGGCAGGCAAGAGAUCUAGCAACAAAGCAGGUGUACUAUCAAGGGUUUCCUCAACAAUAUCAGAAUCACCAAUUCUUUACAAAGGCAAACAAGCCGCUUCCGAUGCUGGUUUCGCCGCUCAGAAGCUUUUAAAAAGCACCGGCAACGCCGCCUGGAUCGUCGGAACCACCUUCUUGGUCCUUGGUUUUCCUCUCAUAUUUCAGAUGGAACGUGAGGGUCAAUUUAUUGAGCUUGAGCUUCAACAAGCUAGUUUGCUUGGUACCCCACCUGCCAAGUGAUCCGCCCUCUUUUUAUAUGGUGUUGAGAUGAUUAAAUAAGGAAAUAGAAAAGAUGUUCUGGCAGCAUGAAAGUGAGAGGAACAAGAAGGCUUUUUUUUGCUGUAGUUAUUAUGAGUAGGAAGAUGCCUUUUUUUGUUGCUUUAUUCUUCACUUUCUGUUAUUUAUUUGACAUUUUUGAGCAAAUGAGAAGAUGCUGCAUUCACAACUAUGAGUGACUAGGGUAAAUCUACUUUUGAAUUUUUAAAUGUAACACAAUCGUGAUACAGUGGCUUGUAUGUUAUGCAUUAAGAUUAGGUUUUGGCA